rnacentral:lncRNA from 1 species
GGGUCUGGAGGAUGGCUCCGAUCUGAAUAGAGCUCAACAGGUGGAACUGCAUAAGGAGGAUACCAGCAGAGACCAGCUUGACAAUAGGAAAGAACUUCCUUGGGGAGCUAAAUUGGAACUGCCACCUAUGGUCAUAGAGCCAGACAGGUAGUGGAGAGAUUUCUAUCAUUUCCAUUGCCUGAGAGGGAUGUCCAAUAAUAAUUCCUUUCUUGGCUUCUAUUUUUAAUAUUAAAGGGAUUUCUCAACCCCAGGACGAAUAUUUUUUUC